GACGAACGCUGGCGGCGUGCUUAACACAUGCAAGUCGUACGGUAAGGCCCUUUCGGGGGUACACGAGUGGCGAACGGGUGAGUAACACGUGAGUAACCUGCCCACAACUUUGGGAUAACGCUAGGAAACUGGUGCUAAUACUGGAUAUGUGCUCCUGCUGCAUGGUGGGGGUUGGAAAGCUCCGGCGGUUGUGGAUGGACUCGCGGCCUAUCAGCUUGUUGGUGGGGUAGUGGCCUACCAAGGCGGCGACGGGUAGCCGGCCUGAGAGGGUGACCGGCCACAUUGGGACUGAGAUACGGCCCAGACUCCUACGGGAGGCAGCAGUGGGGAAUAUUGCACAAUGGGCGCAAGCCUGAUGCAGCAACGCCGCGUGCGGGAUGACGGCCUUCGGGUUGUAAACCGCUUUCAGCAGGGACGAAGCUUUUUGUGACGGUACCUGCAGAAGUAGCACCGGCUAACUACGUG
rnacentral:rRNA from 1 species